CGCAUGGCUCAGUGGUUAGAGCACCUGCCUUGCGUGCGGAAUGUCCCAAGGUUUGAGCUCCGGCAUGUCGA